rnacentral:rRNA from 1 species
AUGGCGUCGACGGGGGCGGAGGUGGACGCGGGCUUUGAGUUCGCCUUCGACAACGAGAUCUUCUCCGACAAGGUGCUGCGUAUAGAGGUCGCCGCCGGCAGCGGCGACGCGCCCGGGUCGGACGCCGGCGCCGCCAGCCGCAAGCGCCGCCGCGAGGGGGACGAAGGUGAUGAUGAAGAAGGUAUUGACUCUUCUUGUACUGUGAUGGGUACACCGAUAUUACAAGUCAAGACCAUACAUGUCAGUUCGGUGAUCCUUGCUGCAAAAAGUUCUUUCUUUUUGAAGCUUUUCUCAAAUGGCAUGAAAGAAUCUGGUCAAACCCAGGCAACAGUUAGAAUUGCUGAUUCAGAGGAAAAUGCCUUCAUGGAGCUUUUAGGCUUUAUGUAUAGUGGAAAGUUGACACCAACUGAGCCCACUCUUUUGCUUGAUAUCUUGAUGGCUGCUGACAAAUUUGAGGUUGUUUCUUGCAUGAAGCUCUGCGGUCAGCGGCUCAUAGACCUUCCUAUGAACCUAGAAUCGGCAGUGAGGUGCCUAGAUCUCCCAUGUUGCAUUUCAAUGGCAGCUGCCCUCCAAGAGGCAGCCCAGAAAUUCUUUGCUGAAAGUGAAAGGUACAAGAAAUUCCCGGAGUUCCAAGAUGAACUAAUGAGGAUCCCUUUCCUUGGGAUUAUGGCCAUCUUGACAAGGAAUGACCUUGAGGUUGCAUCUGAAGUAGCCGCCUAUGACUUUGUGAUCAGGUGGGCCUGUUCAUGGUACCCAAAUUCAGAGGAAAGUCGCAGGAUCUUGAGUUCUUUUUUAAUUCCAACAGUGAGUAUACACAAGGCCAAUACCUUAUUGUCAGAUUUCAUACAAAGCAUGAAGAGUAUUCUGAAGCAGUAG